UACGUAGGGUGCGAGCGUUAAUCGGAAUUACUGGGCGUAAAGAGUGCGUAGGCGGUCCCGCAAGUCCGCUGUGAAAGCCCCGGGCUUAACCUGGGAAUGGCAGUGGAAACUAUGGGACUUGAAUCUGGCAGAGGGGGUGGAAUGCCACGUGUAGCAGUGAAAUGCGUAGAGAUGUGGCGGAACACCGAUGGCGAAGGCAGCCCCCUGGGCUGAGAUUGACGCUCAGGCACGAAAGCGUGGGGAGCAAACAGG
rnacentral:rRNA from 1 species